UUAGAUUGGUGCAAAAGCAAUUGUGGUUUUUGCCAUUGAAAGUAAUGGCAAAGACCACAAUUGCUUUUGCACCAACAUAAUA
rnacentral:miRNA from 1 species